UACGAAGGGGGCUAGCGUUGUUCGGAAUUACUGGGCGUAAAGCGCGCGCAGGCGGUCUUCCAAGUCAGUGGUGAAAGCCCGGAGCUCAACUCCGGAACUGCCAUUGAAACUGUUAGACUUGAGGACGAGAGAGGUGAGUGGAAUUCCCAGUGUAGAGGUGAAAUUCGUAGAUAUUGGGAAGAACACCAACGGCGAAAGCACUCUGCUGGGCCGACACUGACACUGAGAGACGAAAGCUAGGGGAGCAAAUGGG
rnacentral:rRNA from 1 species